rnacentral:rRNA from 1 species
GACGAACGCUGGCGGCGUGCCUAAUACAUGCAAGUUGAGCGCUGAAGGUUGGUACUUGUACCAACUGGAUGAGCAGCGAACGGGUGAGUAACGCGUGGGGAAUCUGCCUUUGAGCGGGGGACAACAUUUGGAAACGAAUGCUAAUACCGCAUAAAAACUUUAAACACAAGUUUUAAGUUUGAAAGAUGCAAUUGCAUCACUCAAAGAUGAUCCCGCGUUGUAUUAGCUAGUUGGUGAGGUAAAGGCUCACCAAGGCGAUGAUACAUAGCCGACCUGAGAGGGUGAUCGGCCACAUUGGGACUGAGACACGGCCCAAACUCCUACGGGAGGCAGCAGUAGGGAAUCUUCGGCAAUAGACGAAAGUCUGACUGAGCAACGCCGCGUGAGUGAAGAAGGUUUUCGGAUCGUAAAACUCUGUUGGUAGAGAAGAACGUUGGUGAGAGUGGAAAGCUCAUCAAGUGACGGUAACUACCCAGAAAGGGACGGCUAACUACGUG